GUUAAAUACUGAUUCGUCCAGAAACUAGAGGCCGUUCUACAAUGGCCAUUGCCCAGUGGGUUAAAAGCCAUACAGAGGUUUAUUGGUUACUCUAUUACAGGAGAUUCAUCAAAGGUUUCUCUUCGGUAAUAGCCCCCAUCACCAAUAUGACACGCAAGGGGCUAAUUGUACUAUAUGGCCUAAAGAAGCAUUUGAGCUUCAUAAACAAAUAUUCGCAUCUGGUGACAUAUUAAGACAUCCUGACACUAGUAAAUCUUUCCUACUUGAGGUUGACCCCUCCGAGACAGGGGUCGGGGCUGUUCUUUCUCAGAGAGAGAGUCAGGACGCCCCUUUGCAUCCUGGUGGUUACUUCUCCAGAAAGUUGUCUCCUGCGAAGCGUAACUAUGACAUUGGUAAUAGAGAACUGUUAGCCAUCAUACUAAGGUUUAAUGAAUGGCGACAUCUUUUGGAGGGUUCCAAGGAUCCCAUUCUGAUUAUUACUGAUCACAAGAACCUGGCAUAUAUUGGGGAUGCCAAACGACUGUCUUCUAGACAAACUAGAUGGUCAUUAUUUUUGUCUCGCUUUAACUUCAUUAUCAC